AUGUCGGAGGCGGUGGGCACGCCGGAGAGCGGUGGGGCGAAGGAGCAGGAGCGGUUCCUGCCGAUCGCCAACAUCGGGCGCAUCAUGCGGCGCGGCGUGCCGGAGAACGGCAAGAUCGCCAAGGACGCCAAGGAGUCCAUCCAGGAGUGCGUCUCCGAGUUCAUCAGCUUCAUUACCAGCGAGGCCAGCGACAAGUGCAUGAAGGAGAAGCGCAAGACCAUCAACGGCGACGACCUGAUCUGGUCCAUGGGCACGCUCGGCUUCGAGGACUACGUCGAGCCCCUCAAGCUCUACCUCAAGCUCUACCGGGAGAUGGAGGGUGACACUUCAAAGGGUUCAAAAUCUGAGCAGGCAGGAAAGAAAGAGGUUGCACUGAACGGGCAGCCUGGAUCAUCGUUCAACGGCAUGUAG
rnacentral:rRNA from 1 species